ACACUCCUGCGGGAGGCAGCAGUGGGGAAUUUUGGACAAUGGGCGAAAGCCUGAUCCAGCAAUGCCGCGUGUGUGAAGAAGGCCUUCGGGUUGUAAAGCACUUUUGUCCGGAAAGAAAUCCUUGGCUCUAAUACAGUCGGGGGAUGACGGUACCGGAAGAAUAAGCACCGGCUAACUACGUGCCAGCAGCCGCGGUAAUACGUAGGGUGCGAGCGUUAAUCGGAAUUACUGGGCGUAAAGCGUGCGCAGGCGGUUUGCUAAGAUCGAUGUGAAAUCCCCGGGCUCAACCUGGGAACUGCAUUGGUGACUGGCAGGCUAGAGUAUGGCAGAGGGGGGUAGAAUUCCACGUGUAGCAGUGAAAUGCGUAGAGAUGUGGAGGAAUACCGAUGGCGAAGGCAGCCCCCUGGGCCAAUACUGACGCUCAUGCACGAAAGCGUGGGGAGCAAACAGGAUUAGAUACCCUAGUAGUCCCAUG
rnacentral:rRNA from 1 species